rnacentral:rRNA from 1 species
AGUGAACGCUGGCGGUAGGCCUAACACAUGCAAGUCGAACGGCAGCACAGUAAGAGCUUGCUCUUACGGGUGGCGAGUGACGGACGGGUGAGGAAUACAUCGGAAUCUACUUUUUCGUGGGGGAUAACGUAGGGAAACUUACGCUAAUACCGCAUACGACCUACGGGUGAAAGCAGGGGAUCUUCGGACCUUGCGCGAUUGAAUGAGCCGAUGUCGGAUUAGCUAGUUGGCGGGGUAAAGGCCCACCAAGGCGACGAUCCGUAGCUGGUCUGAGAGGAUGAUCAGCCACACUGGAACUGAGACACGGUCCAGACUCCUACGGGAGGCAGCAGUGGGGAAUAUUGGACAAUGGGCGCAAGCCUGAUCCAGCCAUACCGCGUGGGUGAAGAAGGCCUUCGGGUUGUAAAGCCCUUUUGUUGGGAAAGAAAAGCAGCAGGUUAAUACCCCGCUGUUCUGACGGUACCCAAAGAAUAAGCACCGGCUAACCUCGUG